rnacentral:tRNA from 1 species
GGUGAUGCAGUUCAGUGGUAGAGUGGUUGUCUGCCAUGUACAAGGCCCUGGGUUCAAUUCCUAGCACUACCA